CCUACGGGCGGCUGCAGUGGGGAAUAUUGGACAAUGGGGGCAACCCUGAUCCAGCCAUGCCGCGUGUGUGAAGAAGGCCCUCGGGUUGUAAAGCACUUUCAGUGAGGAAGAACGCCUGGUGGUUAAUACCCAUCAGGAAAGACAUCACUCACAGAAGAAGCACCGGCUAACUCCGUGCCAGCAGCCGCGGUAAUACGGAGGGUGCGAGCGUUAAUCGGAAUUACUGGGCGUAAAGCGCGCGUAGGUGGCUUGAUAAGCCGGUUGUGAAAGCCCCGGGCUCAACCUGGGAACGACAUCCGGAACUGUCAAGCUAGAGUGCAGGAGAGGAAGGUAGAAUUCCCGGUGUAGCGGUGAAAUGCGUAGAGAUCGGGAGGAAUACCAGUGGCGAAGGCGGCCUUCUGGACUGACACUGACACUGAGGUGCGAAAGCGUGGGUAGCAAACAGGAUUAGAUACCCCGGUAGUC
rnacentral:rRNA from 1 species